rnacentral:tRNA from 1 species
GGGGCUGUAGCUCAGUGGUGAGAGCGCCUGACUCACAUUCAGGAGGUCACAGGUUCAAAUCCUGUCAGCCCCACCA